rnacentral:lncRNA from 1 species
UCCAGACCAUAUCCAUAUUUCCUUUCCAUUCCAGGCUUCCGUUUUCUCGUGUCCAGCCGUUAGUGGUUAGUCCCGUUCCCGUAGUCCAACUCUGCGACUCAGUGUCGUUUUGAUUACUUCACCUCGGUCUCUCUCUGUUAGAAAUUUAGUUAUUAGGAUUAGUAACUUAGCGUGGUGUUUAAUUAAUUGAAAUGAUUGUAAUAAUCCGUUCAGCGUCCACUUAAAGCUCUUUGUUUCUCGAUUGUCGAAUCGCAAUACCCUGUGUUAUCCAACGCUCCCCUUUCACACCUUGACACCUAACACGUGCUUCAAUUGAAGCAGUUAAGUGGAAGUGUAUGCUAAAGCAUUCCAGAUAACAUCAGUCGAAGAGAAAAGUGGUAUAGAUGAAUUUGCUGCAAUGGAUUUAAAUCUCUACAUGCUGAAGUGGACUUGUUUGACAGUAUUGCAUUUGUCUAUGCUUACUAGGGAUUCCCAAUGAAGAACAAGAACCUGAUGGGAUUAAAUGAAGCAUUUUGUAUCAGUCCCAUCCCGAUUUCAUGAAGCUUCAACUUUUGCCCUUAAUAGCAGGAAUCUGGUUUCUGGAUCUGUCGUUCACAUGUAACAGGUAUAAUCAAAUCAAUCUUUUUGAUCGGGGGCCAAUAGGGACAACCUUUUUGAAGAGCUGCCUAUAAUUCGAAAAGUGAGUAUGAUUUUGUAAACUAGAUGUCGCUAUCGUCUGGCAGUUUCAAACUUAGCGACUAGGUGGCGUGGCGUGUCAUACGAUUUGUUGUCAUGAAACGUUUGGUUGUUCUAAUUCUAUUUAUUGGGGAUUCAAUUAACUGGCGCAACUUAUUAAAUUUUUACGCUACUUAUUUACAGUGAACAUGAACAGUUAAAGGAAAAGUACCAUCAACCCUUUUUGUUUUCUAAAAGAUUCACUCAAAAGAUGCAGGAAAGCACCACACCACAUUAAUUUUGAAAUAUUAAUGUCUUCUUUUUUUAAUUUAUUAAAACAGGUGGAUCUGAUCAUCUCUCAUGGUUAACAGCUGCCUGAUCAAGCCUUUCUAAUAAUCUUACAGUCAUUAUACAGGCUAAGAAGACCAGUAUUAUUAUUCUGUUUUCGUUGAAAUGUAAGAAUUGUGUCUGUAGAGUCAUAAUUUAAUAAUUUAUGUUCUGUUAACAGAUGAAUUUUUAGUAGAGGAAGUAAGCAAUCGAUAGUCAUCCUCAUCACAUCAUUUGUGAUGUGUCUUGUCUUCUGGAUGGACUAGGAAAUCUGAGUGGUGUUAUCAUUUGAAAUGAUGACCUGCGGUUAUGUUCUAUGCGGUUCCUCUUGGUCUUAUGAUCAACUAAUUAAAAUGUACAACGGAUCGAGGUUAGGAAGAGAUUAGUCAGAACCGUAAUCCUUCAAAAGGGGCGGCGGUUUGGCUGUACAAAUGUUAUCUGUUGAUGCAAUGAAAGAAUAAGUAAGUAGCUCUAAUUCAUGGGUCAUUUUGCAGUCAGGUCAUCUUGCAGUCAGGUUAUAAAUUAUAUUCAAACGUAUAAUUCAAAUUUAUGGGUGAUUCACAACUUAUUGACAAUACCUUACAUUGUUGGGUUGGAUAAUGUUCUAUCUAUUAUUUUAACUUGGGGGAGGGCAGAAAAGCUCCCGCGUUGUUCUGAACGUCUCACACUCACUCAAAUUAUGCUGUUAACAAUGGUCUCUAGCUAUUACUUUAGUGCUGAAAUUGGUAGUGACAUAUUUGUGUAUAUAGUUUCAACACGAUUAUCUGUUUGUAGCUGCAGUUCGUUGAUCACUUAACAUGUUUUUCUACAGCCAUUAAAUCUAGCCUAAGCAGACCAGCAUUAUUUAUAUUCCAGAGAGUGAUCACAAUGUGCAGUAGUUCUGCAGCCUGUUUCCAGUUCAGGCUGUUGCAUGCCGUCGGUGGAUCUGGUGUUAUCCUGGAUUGUGUUGAUCUGGUUGCGGCCAAAUGGUGAAUAUGUCAUCAAAUCAAGUUCAGUUGUUGCACGGAGUUUGUGGUACCGGUGUUAUCCUGGAGUAUGUUUUGACAAACUUUGUUUUGCAUGUUUGUGAAUGGAGUUUUCUCCUCGUCAUUUAACUUUUUUUUUUACUGUCGUCUGUUUUGUGUGUAAUAAAAGAUAAUUUGUGUUUUGACGAGGAUAGGAGGGGACGAGGGGUUCUUGUCGAACGGAAAAUUGAAGGUUUAAGAUUUUAGGAAAAUUGCCCACCUGAUUUGUGCAAGUGGACAGUAAAACACGAAGUUUAUUACACUUGUGAUUCAAUUCCAGCUAAAACCGCCUUGUUCAAAUUGUAAUUAUCACUUUAACAGCAUGUUGCUGUCGUGUGAUACAUUCAGGAAGAAUUCUUA